rnacentral:lncRNA from 1 species
AUCGAAUAUAAUAAUAUAAUAUGAUUUUGUUAUUAUUCUUGUUCCAUUUUAUAAAGACUGACCACAACCAGCUUCUUCUCCUUGGUCUGAUGCAUUACUUCAUCAAUCAUCAUGCAAUUGCAAUGUAGAAAUAAAAGAUUAUCAUCAUCCAAACUUAGCAGCAGUGUUACUCUAUCUAAAUUUGAUCAUUGGGCAGGUACUCUUUUUGUCAUGUACGCA